GAUCAGGAACGACAUCAGGGUGAUGAUCGGCGUCGCCAUGACGCCCAUACGGUCGAUCUG
rnacentral:sRNA from 1 species